AAGUAUAUGGCUGUGAGGUCCAGGAAGACACAGGAAUUGCAAGGAUUCUGGGGAAAUGGUAGUCUCUGCUCUGCAUUGCAAGAAGACGGAAACAGUUGUGGGCCUUUUGUAUUACUGAAUGCUCUUGCCCUAACCAGAACCAUCAAUCCCAGACAGCUGACACAACGCCAUGCAGUGGCAAUGAGGAAGUUUGUGUACCAUAAACUGAAGCAACAUUCCUCAGAUUUCCAGCUGUAAAGUAUUUUUCCAGUGUUGCGGUUAAGUUUCACAUUUUUGUGAAAAAUUAAUAAAUGCCUCUUUAAGGUAACAUA